UGAGGAAUAUUGGUCAAUGGGCGCAAGCCUGAACCAGCCAUCCCGCGUGAAGGAAGAAUGCGCUAUGCGUUGUAAACUUCUUUUCCAGGGGAAUAAAAUUUCGUACGAGUACGGGACUGAAGGUACCUUGGGAAUAAGCAUCGGCUAACUCCGUGCCAGCAGCCGCGGUAAUACGAAGGAUGCGAGCGUUAUCCGGAUUUAUUGGGUUGAAAGGGUGAGUAGGCGGAAAAAUAAGUCAGUGGUGAAAACCUUCAGCUUAACUGGAGACUUGCAAUUGAUACUGUUAUUCUUGAGUAUAGUUAAGGUAGGCGGAAUGUGUAAUGUAGCGGUGAAAUGCUUAGAUAUUACACAGAACACCGAUUGCGAAGGCAGCUUACUGAGCUAUAACUGACGCUGAUGCACGAAAGCGUGGGGAGCGAACA
rnacentral:rRNA from 1 species